CCUACGUGAGGCAGCAGUGGGGAAUAUUGCACAAUGGGCGCAAGCCUGAUGCAGCGACGCCGCGUGAGGGAUGGAGGCCUUCGGGUUGUAAACCUCUUUUAUCGGGGAGCAAGCGUGAGUGAGUUUACCCGUUGAAUAAGCACCGGCUAACUACGUGCCAGCAGCCGCGGUAAUACGUAGGGUGCAAGCGUUAUCCGGAAUUAUUGGGCGUAAAGGGCUCGUAGGCGGUUCGUCGCGUCCGGUGUGAAAGUCCAUCGCUUAACGGUGGAUCCGCGCCGGGUACGGGCGGGCUUGAGUGCGGUAGGGGAGACUGGAAUUCCCGGUGUAACGGUGGAAUGUGUAGAUAGCGGGAAGAACACCAAUGGCGAAGGCAGGUCUCGGGGCCGUUACUGACGCUGAGGAGCGAAAGCGUGGGGAGCGAACAGGAGUAGAUACCCGUGUAGUC
rnacentral:rRNA from 1 species